AGAAUGACUCUCGGCAACGGAUAUCUAGGCUCUUGCAUCGAUGAAGAACGUAGCGAAAUGCGAUACUUGGUGUGAAUUGCAGAAUCCCGUGAACCAUCGAGUUUUUGAACGCAAGUUGCGCCUGAUGCCAUUAGGUUGAAGGCACGUCUGCCUGGGUGUCACAU
rnacentral:rRNA from 1 species